GACGAACCGAGCGAACGUCGUUCGGAAUCACUGGGCUUAAGGGACGCGUAGGCGGGCAUCAAAGUCUGUGGUGAAAUCCGGCAGCUUAACUGUCGAAUUGCCAUGGAUACUGGAUGUCUCGAGGGAGGCAGGGGUGCGCGGAACUGAUGGUGGAGCGGUGAAAUGCGUUGAUAUCAUCAGGAACUCCGGUGGCGAAGGCGGCGCACUGGUCCUCUUCUGACGCUGAGGCGCGAAAGCCAGGGGAGCAAACGGG
rnacentral:rRNA from 1 species